rnacentral:rRNA from 1 species
GGGUAAUUACGUGCCAGCAGCCUGGGUAAUCCUGAGGUGGCGAGCGUUUUCCGGAUUGAGUGGGCGUAAAGAGCCCGCAGGCGGGUCAGCAAGUUUCAGGUGAAAUCUCCCGGCUCAACUGGGAGGGUGCCUGGAAAACUGCUGGACUUGAGGCAGGGAGAGGGAUGUGGAAUUCCCGGUGUAGUGGUGAAAUGCGUAGAUAUCGGGAGGAACACCAGUGGCGAAGGCGGCAUCCUGGCCCUGUCCAGACGCUCAGGGGCGAAAGCGUGGGGAGCAAACCGGAUUAGAUACCCAGUAGUC